UGUCAAUGCAGCCUGAGACCUUUAGUGAAGUGUUUUCUACCAUAAUUCAUUAUUCACCUUUUAUUGAUCACGCUUUAACAUCGUCGUCCAUCAGCCGGUACCUCCAAGGACGUGGACAUGUUCACAGCAGCCAUCUACUGCGACCACAGGUGACCCCUGACCCCUGACCCUGCGUCUCCGGUCACUCCGGUUCUAAACGUCUCCACGCGGCCCCUUCGGGUUCUACGGGAACCGCUCGCACUGCUACUGGGUUCUGGAGCCGUACUCAGCUGACGGGGUUCUUCAGUAAGGACGAUGCUCUGAUGGGGUUAAAGUGAAUGUGAGGAAGACGUAUGAAGAGCUGCAGAGAGGACA